UACGUAGGCAGCAAGCGUUGUUCGGAGUUACUGGGCGUAAAGGGUGUGUAGGCGGUUCCUUAAGUUCGCUGUGAAAUCUCCCGGCUUAACCGGGAGGGUGCGGUGAAUACUGAGGGACUAGAGUACGGGAGAGGAAAGUGGAAUUCCUGGUGUAGCGGUGAAAUGCGUAGAUAUCAGGAGGAACACCGGUGGUGUAGACGGCUUUCUGGACCGUAACUGACGCUGAGACACGAAAGCGUGGGUAGCAAACAGG
rnacentral:rRNA from 1 species